AGCUGAAUAAACCCUUUCCUCCCUCUCCGAAUGUCUGUGGUGUUCCAUCACAGCAAUAGAAACCCUACCGAAGACGAGCGUGACUGAGGUCUUACACCAAUAUGAACACACAUUAUAGCUUCAGACAGGGGUAUCCGUAAACAGCUUGUGCCACCUCAAACUUUAAAAGACUGAGACUGGAGGACACCCUUGUUACCCACCGUCCCACAGCUGAGAUCACUGUUCACUUUGGCAGAAUUUGGGAAGACACACUCUUGGGUGGAGAAGGAGACUAAGCAACAGACAGGCGUCAGGAUCUAGUAGUAAGUGGCAAGGCAGCAGGGCUUCCCUGUCACGCCAGCCACCAGAACAGCCUUUCUGAUCGCAAUAGGCAGAAUGCCCCCUUGGAGACACACGUGGCGGAGUCUCCAGUAACUGUCUGCAUAUGUCACUAUGUGAAGGACCUGGACGUGGGGGAGGUUACCCUUGGUGGUUGCAAUGGCUCCCAUCUCAUUUCAUGGUUCUUUAUCGAGAGGAAAUGCAUCCUGCCUGUGGUCAGCGGGAAUGAGGACCACGAGGAGAUCAGAGAGACGUGAUGAGCCUAGCUACGCAAGCAACCCCAUCUCUAGGAGACAGAGGAGCAAAGACAUGGAUUCUCAUCCAGCAUCUUCAGACAGCAGCACUCCAGCCCUGUCAGGAUCAUGAUCCAGUUAUAUAUAUAUAUCACAUCAGGCUGCUAAGGAUAGUAAGAGGCCCCAUUGCUAAAGGGAAGGACUGUGCGGCUGGCUCAGACAGUGGCACAGACACAGCAAAGGCACGGCACCAUAGCCAGGCAGCGUGAUUGUUCCUGAAGACCAGUUCUGCAUGCUCUGAGGGCACCGGGUGAGUAAGCCAACUGGCGGGGGAAUACUGAUUGUUUUGUUCUUGCUCGUGCAGAACAGCCUCCAGCAAAGUAUGGGACCCAA